AAUGAUUGAAGAAUAUCGCGUAUAUAAGUAGAAGCUUGAACUUACAAAUCCAUUUGAAAUCAUCUUGGGUCAUUUCAAAGUCCAGCGUUCUGUUGAGUGAGGGAAGACCGGGAGAGCCCCAUCCUCUGACUGUGCCCAUGCAAAAGUAACCCCACGAUCCGACGACUGCCGCCAUCAACUGUAAAUUCAACACAAAGUUUUACUUAGGAGACUUUGUGGGGAUUCUUCAUUAUUUGCUGCUUCACCAUUUUGGUUUUUUCAGUCACUGCACAAGAAAUAAGAUUCCACUGUUAUC